rnacentral:rRNA from 1 species
GGGGAAUAUUGGACAAUGGGCGCAAGCCUGAUCCAGCCAUGCCUCGUGGGUGAAGAAGGCCUUCGGGUUGUAAAGCCCUCUUGUUGGGCAAGAAAAGCAGCCGGACAAUACCUGGUUGUCCCGACGGUACCCAACGAAUAGGCACAGGACAACCUCGAGCCAUCAGCCGCUGUAAUACGAAGGGUGCAAACGUUACUCGGAAUUACGGGCGUAAAGCGUGCGUAGGGGUGGUUUAAGUCCGUUGUGAAAGCCCUGGGCUCAACCUGGGAACUGCAGUGGAUACUGCAUCACUAGAGUGUGGCAGAGGGUAGUGGAAUUCCCGGUGUAGCAGUGAAAUGCGUAGAGAUCGCGAGGAACAUCAGUGGCGAGGGCGACUGCCUGGCCCAACACUGACACUGAGGCACGAAAGCGUGGGGAGCAAACA